rnacentral:rRNA from 1 species
UUCGGGCGGGGAUUAGUGGCGAACGGGUGAGUAACACGUGGGCAAUCUGCCCUGCACUCUGGGACAAGCCCUGGAAACGGGGUCUAAUACCGGAUAUGACUGUCCGCCGCAUGGUGGAUGGUGUAAAGCUCCGGCGGUGCAGGAUGAGCCCGCGGCCUAUCAGCUUGUUGGUGAGGUAGUGGCUCACCAAGGCGACGACGGGUAGCCGGCCUGAGAGGGCGACCGGCCACACUGGGACUGAGACACGGCCCAGACUCCUACGGGAGGCAGCAGUGGGGAAUAUUGCACAAUGGGCGAAAGCCUGAUGCAGCGACGCCGCGUGAGGGAUGACGGCCUUCGGGUUGUAAACCUCUUUCAGCAGGGAAGAAGC